UGGAGCCCGUUCCAGCACCUAAUCGCGAACCGGCCGUCGUGUUCACGCCACAGAUAUUUGCGUUCGCGAACCAGAAAAUUGGUUCGCAAUGCGAACCGCAAAAUACUAGGUUUUUCUCUGCGAACCGUGACGACAGCGUGGUCGUCAGCAGGUUCAUCCGGGUAACACAGUCACGUGCGGAAAAAAGUUCAGAGCCCGGUAUGAACACUGGCGGUUCGCAGACAAACACUUUAGUGCCGAAUGUAACUGGUGCGAGCACCGACACUGGCUCCGUUCUGGUCGGCCUGAAAGCCAUACCAGUGUUCCAGACAGACGGUAGCAAAACAAGCACGCACAGGUGUAAAUAAUGCCAUCCAUUAAGGCUUUACUGGACAGCUGUGUAGAAUGUGUGUUAACUUUCAUUAGUCACACCUGUGCUUGUUGUAUUGCUAUUUGCAGCUAAGGUGACCUAGCCUGGGUCUGUGGCUGCACUCUCUGCUACACAGGUCUUCCUCAAUCAAAUACCAUAAAGCCGCUCAAGCAUGAAAAUAGAAAAAUUGCUCAGUCGCACCGUACACCACCGUCGGGUUAUUACACUAAAUUAAACAUUAAAUUACUGAUUGUGUGCAGGCACCUUGUUCUUUUUUUCCCUUUAUCCUCAAUGACUUAGUUAUUCAUGAGCAGGGCAGUGCCUUUCAGUAAUGUGUGGUAAGGUUGCCCUGCUCAAGGGCACUCCAGUAUUUCAGCAGUUCAGCAGUUUAUUUACAUGUACCUAACCCCACCCACAUGCAUCCUUUUCAAACAGGAUUGAAACUUGCGCCCCUACCCUACCCUACACUGUUGCUACUGUUAUUAUUGUAUCCCAUGCUAGUGACCCACAGACACACGGGACUCUUACUGACUACUGUGGAAAUAUGAUGAGGAUAAUACUGUUUCUCAUUCUGUAUGGAUGCAAUAUGUGCACUGUGCAUGCUUUAUGACAUAAACACACGUCUCUUGCAUUUUUUUGGUGUUGUUACAUCUUUGUUAUUCAGACAAGAUAGUGAGACAGGAAACGAGUGGGAUGGGGAUCAGGAAAUCAAACCCAGGCCCCUGGAUUUAUUGGACGGAGCACUAGCCCAUUGAACUGUGGUGCCCCCACGUCUCUUCCUUU